rnacentral:rRNA from 1 species
GACGAACCGUGCGAACGUUGUUCGGAAUCACUGGGCAUAAAGGGCGCGUAGGCGGCUUUUCAAGUCAGGGGUGAAAUCCGGCAGCUCAACUGUCGAAGUGCCCUUGAUACUGAUGAGCUCGAGGGAGGUAGGGGUGUGUGGAACUUCCGGUGGAGCGGUGAAAUGCGUUGAUAUCGGAAGGAACGCCGGUGGCGAAAGCGACGCACUGGACCUCUUCUGACGCUGAGGCGCGAAAGCUAGGGGAGCAAGCGGG